GGUAGGGCGGGGGGAGUCAAAGGGAGUAGGUUGCGUUUUAGUUCCUGCGACUGCUGUGACGGUCCAAGGCAAAUGAGAGUGUGGGCGAGCGACAGAUCUCUGCCCCUUUUCCAGAAGACCCCAAAAUGAGCAAGUCCCUGGGACCAGUGUCUUUCGCGGAUGUGACCGUGGAGUUCAGCAGGGAGGAGUGGCGGCACCUGGACCCUGCCCAGAGGAGCCUGUACAGGGACGUGAUGCUGGAGAACUACCUCACCCUGCUCUCUGUGGGCUGUCCAGUUCCCAAACCAGAAGUCAUCUUCAACUUGGAGCAAGGAGAGCCGUGCCUGUCGGACGGUGAGAGCUCAGGGCAGAGCUGUCCAGAUGGGGAUACUGGUUUUGAGACUUCACAACAGAGACUCUCUGAAGACGUUUCUUUCCAGUUUGAGAGAAUUAAUCUCUUCAUGAGAGAUGACCCCUGUUCCGUUUUAGAACUGUGGCAAGAUGACAAGCGGAGAGGGGGACAGGAGGCACACCAGAGCGGGCCUUUAGGUCGCGCGGUCUUCAGCACUGGGGCGGCGCUGGCCGAGGAGAGGCGCUGUGGGUCCCUGGAGGCUGGGAGCCUCGGGCACAUCGGCGCACAUCGCAAAGGACUCCCUCCUGGCCGCUCCUGCAGGAAGACCCUGAAGCUCGCUGCAAGCGCACCUAAUCAUAAGAGAAACGGCGCAUCAGAAAGUGACCAGGAGGUGCCCAGCUCCGAGGAUGAGGGUGCUUCUGCUCACGCGGAGCCUCAGACAGAAGUGAACGCUGGAGGAGGCGGGCGCUGCCGGGAGCUGGGAGGUCGGGAGCAAGCGCUCACUCGGCCUGUUUCCGAGAAGCUCCGUCUGUUUUCUGAGUGUGUCAAGGUCUUCGCCGAGAAGUCCCGCCUCUUUGCACAGCGGAGUGUUUACGCCGAGGAGAAAGAGCGCGAGUGCGGUCAAUGUGCGGCCGUCUUCACCGCCAAGCCCCCGCGUGCUGUUCCUCGAAGAGUUUCUGCAGCAGAGGAAUUUGGGAGAGAUCUUCCCCUUCAGUCAAGUCAUCAGAAAACUCCCCAUGAGGAAAGUUACUGUAAAUGUAGUGAAUACGGAAGCGCAUUGAGCCAGAAGCCCGAUCUGUUCCGAUGCCAGAGAAACCAUCCUGGAGAAGGACCCUAUGGCUACAGUGAAUGUGUGGAAAACUUCUCACAGAAUUCAGACGUCAGCGUAAUUAAAACAAAUCACAUCGGAGGGAAACACUUUGAGUGUCCCGAGUGUGGAAAAGCCUUCACAAGGAAGUCCACGCUAAGUAUGCAUCAGAAAAUUCACACGGGAGAAAAACCCUACGUGUGCGCUGAAUGUGGGAAGGCCUUUAUCCGGAAAUCCCAUUUUAUCACGCAUGAAAGAAUUCAUACCGGAGAGAAACCCUAUGAAUGCAGCGACUGUGGGAAAUCCUUUAUAAAAAAGUCACAACUCCACGUGCAUCAGCGAAUUCACACAGGAGAGAAUCCUUUCAUAUGCUCAGAAUGUGGGAAGGUGUUCACUCACAAGACCAAUCUCAUCAUACACCAGAAGAUUCACACUGGAGAGAGGCCCUACACGUGUACCGAAUGCGGGAAGGCCUUCACUGACAGGUCAAAUCUCAUUAAGCACCAGAAAAUUCACACGGGAGAAAAACCCUAUAAAUGCAACGACUGUGGAAAAUCAUUCACCUGGAAGUCACGGCUCAGGAUCCAUCAGAAAUGCCAUACUGGCGAGAGACAUCACCAGUGUCGGGAGUGUGGGAAAGCGUUCAUUCAGAAGUCAACACUAAGUAUGCACCAGAGAAUUCACAGAGGAGAAAAGCCCUACGUUUGCAACGAGUGUGGGAAGGCCUUCUUCCACAAAUCCCAUUUUAUCACUCAUGAGAGAAUUCACACUGGAGAGAAACCCUAUGAAUGCGGUGAUUGUGGGAAAUCCUUCACGAAAAAAUCACAGCUCCAUGUGCAUCAGCAGAUCCACACAGGAGAGAAGCCCUACAGGUGUGCCGAAUGUGGAAAGGCCUUCACGGACAGAUCGAAUCUCUUCACACACCAGAAGAUCCACACCGGAGAGAAGCCCUAUAAAUGCAGUGACUGUGGAAAAGCCUUCACUCGGAAGUCAGGCCUCCACAUACAUCAGCAGUCCCACACUGGAGAAAGGCAUUAUGCGUGCAGUGAAUGUGGGAAAGCCUUUGCAAGAAAAUCAACACUAAUUAUGCACCAGAGAAUUCACACGGGAGAGAAACCCUAUGUUUGCACUGAAUGUGGGAAGUCCUUCAUCCAAAAGUCACACUUAAAUAGACACAGGAGAAUCCACACCGGAGAGAAACCCUACGAGUGUUGUGACUGUGGGAAGUCUUUCAUUAAAAAGUCACAGCUCCAUGAGCAUCAUCGGAUUCACACGGGAGAAAAGCCGUAUGUGUGUGCUGAAUGCGGAAAGGCCUUCACCAUCAGAUCAAAUCUUAUUAAACACCAGAAGAUUCAUGGUAAACUGAAACCCUAUACAUGCAGCGACUUUGGGAAAGCCUUACACUGGAAGGCACAACUCACGAGUCAACACAGCGCACCUCAGAAGUCUGACACUGGGGGAGUAGAGUGCCCAGUGCCACAGUCAUGGCGUGGGGAUAUAGGCCACGGCUUGACUAGGAAACAGGAGGUGACCACGGCCUACACGCUGACUUCUGUCUAGUCCGAAUUAGGAACGUCUGCAUUGCAUAAUUGAUGUCCACAAUACAUCUGGGAAGGUACUUUGGAGGAAGUGUUUAGACAGUGUAUUGUGGCCAGGCUUGGUUACUUGACAGAUUGUCAGGCCCUGCAAGUAACAGCGAAGAUGCAAAAGCCAGACACCACAGUGCAGGCCUAUACUCCCAGCUACUCCGGAGGCUGAGGCAGGAGGAUCACCUGAGCCCAGGAGUAAAGAUGACUUACAGUCUUUCCGAUUUCACUGUUUUGGUAAGCAGUUGUAUAAAUUCAGGGCUGUUGAAUUUCUCAUGCCCUGGGUAACAAAACUUUUCAAUAUUGACCAAAAAACAUUUCAUAAGGAAUAGAGUGGUAAGAAAAUUUUUCAUUGUCUUAGUGACCAAAGGACACUAAAAUCAAGAUGGAAGUUAAUCAAUUCAGGUCUGUAAUGAAAAGAAAUUACAAGUUUUUGUGAAAAUUGACACUGACAACACAAAGAAAGGAACCUCAUACUGUGACUUCAGUCAGUGUAAGAAAUGUGUACUCCAACAAACAUGUAAUUAUAAAUGGCAUGAUUCAUGGGGAGAGCAGAGGUCUGAGUGUGAAUAGGACUGUAUGCACAAGUCACCCUUCAUCACGUGUAGAGUACUCACGCUGGAGAGCAGCUUGCUGAAUGGAGCAGCGGGGGAAUCCUGCAAUGAAAGGCGACCAGUGCCUCUAGAAGCAGAGUCUUCCUGUAGAAGCAAAACCCCAAGAAAUAGAGUUCGUUUUGUUUACUGAUUUAAGCCAGAUUAUAAAGUGUUCUGUAUAAUUUGUGUACCUUUAAUAUCUUUUGGAAAAAUGAUUCUUUUCUUGGCCAUGAGUGGACUUUCACAGUGUUAGACACUGUUCGUGGAACCAGCUUCGGUUUUAGUACUCCUGUCUGCUUACUUUAUCAUCUUUUGAAGCUGGGAGUGGCUAAGUGACCUACCUCAGGCCAAGAAAAGCAAAACACUAGGAGGUGUAUCCUGGGAAAACCUGUGCUUUCCAAAGAAAAGGGACAAAUGUGACGGCUGCCAUCAGUUUUUCCUGUUCUUCCUGAGUUCUACAUGGUUCCUGUUGCAUUGGUGGCCAUCUUUCAAUCACUGGGUAAAGACUGGUCUGGGUAUUAUCUAUUCAACACUAGCAGCAACUGCCCUUCUGUCAAGACUUUAGUUAUGGUAUAAAAAUAAAUAGAUUUUGCAUAAACCAUUGUAUUUUAGGUUUACCUUACACUCAAAAGCAUACCUAAAUUUAUUCAGACACCAAAUGUAUAGUUAAUUUUAUCCUAUGCAUUAUAAAAUAUUUUAAAAACAUUUCUUUAAACUAGAUUCUCCACAUAAACUUGAAUAAGAUAAACAGCAAAAUUAUUCAUGAUCUGUAAUGAGUAAAAGGAACCACAGAUAUUGAAUCAAUAUGAUCAGAAGAGAAUUCUACCUAGAAUAAAUGAUUUUUCUAACAAGAUAAUUUAUUAAAGUUGAAGAAAUGAAAAACUGAAAAAAGUCAAUAAGAUAACUUCAAAAUAUUACAGAACUACCACUGAAACUGCACCAGGGAUAUAGGAGGAGAUUUCUUAGGACAUAUAAAUGAUGAAUUAUAAGAGAAAGAAUAAAUUAAACUUUUCAAGUCUAAAAGCUCUUCCCCUUUUAAACAUCAUUGAGAAAAUGAAAAGCAAAGACAGAAUGGGAAGAAAUAUUUGCAAUAGAUAUCUGAAAAACGAUUUGUCUCCUGAAAAUAAUAAAACUUUAAAUCCUUUAUAAAACAGCCAAAUAAAAAUAGCAAUAUACCCGAAUAGAGAGAAUUCAUAAAAUAAGUUAUGAAAUGACGAAGAAAGGAUUUCAACAUUAGUCAGCAGAGAAACAAAUUAUAACCUCAGUGAGACACCGUUACACACCCAUUAAAAUGAUUGGCACUACCAAACACUGGCAGUUGGGAAUAUAGAAUGGCACAAAUACUUGAAAGGGUUUGUCAUAUUAAAAUUUUCAGAUGGGCAAUUACCAUAAAACCUAGAGAUUCUACUCUGGAAUUUAACCCAAGAGAAAUGAAAACUUAUGUCCAUACAAACACUUAAACAUGUAUGUUGAUAACUUUAUUCAUGAUAGCCUGAAAGUGGAAACAAUUUACGUGUCCAACAAGGGAAUAGAUAAUGUGGUAUAGUCGUAAAUGGAAAACUACGCUACCAUAAGGCAAUAAAAGGAGUGGAUAACUGAUAAAAGUAACAAUAUGGAUGGAUUACAAAGUUAUUUUGAUUAAGGAAAAAAAGACAUGAGUAUUAUUGUAUGAUUGCAUUUAUAUGAAAUUUUAGAAAUGCAAAAUAAUAAAGAAUAAGAUUGAUAGUUGCCUGGGGCUCAGGAAAGGCGGGACAGCCAGCAAAUGGGCACAGGGACUCUUUCUUGGGAUGAUUAAAAUGUGUAUUUUGUGUCAGUGGUUUUAAGAGUGUAUGCACUGCCAGAAUGCAUUGAGUUGAACACUAAGUGGACUGAAUGUAAAUUAUAUCCCAAUAAAGUCAAUUUAAAAAACUGAACAUGAAAAGAUGGAUCUGCAUGUGAACUGAGUUCAUGUCUAAGAUAAUUGUAACGAUUUCACAUCAUUGCAACUUGCGGAGAAAAACGUUUCCCAGUAUGUUCUACUGUCUCUCCAUCAGGAGAGCUCACUGCAGCUUUACAACAUGCCAGGGCUCUUAAGACAUCACAAUAACUGCUGUGCAAAAGUAAGGGAUUAUUGACUCAUUGCUUAUGAUCACAGAUGCAAAUAUCCUAAAUAAAAAUUUAGCAAGUAGACUUUAUCAGUAUAUGACAUUUAGUCAUGAUUUUAUUUUUAAAGAAUGAUAGAAUACCAAUAAAUUUGAAUGAUUCAUUACUUUAAAAGAGAAAUAUAUUUCAUAUCUAUAAUUACUGAGGGGUAUUUGAUUAACACUCAUUCCUAAUAAAACAGGCAUGGUAGAAAAAUAAAUAUAAUUCUCUAAUAGCAAUAGCAAAUAUUUUAAAUAGAAGUAAAUAUUUGAAUCAAAAUUGGUCAUUA